AAGGUAGAGAGUAACAGGCCUGACAUUUAUAACUUGCCAACAGAAGGAGCACGCCUGACCUUCUAGAGAGGCUGCUUCCCAGCCUCUUCUGUUCCACUGAAGAGAUUUCUAAAUGACAGAAACAUUACAAGAAUUAAAUGCUCCUUUGUUCUUUUGGAUUUCAAUUUUUAACAAUUCUAUUAUCGUCGUGUGUAUUGUGUACACAUUCCCCAGUGCAUGUGGAGGUCAGAGGACAGCUCUGCAGAAUGGGCUUUGUCCUUCCCCAUGGGAUCUGGGGGCCGAACUCUGGUCAUCAAGCUUGGGUGGCAAGUACUUUUACCCACUUAGCCAUAUCGCCUGGCUUGUUUUUAGGUACUUUUCUACACAGAUGAAGUUCUUCUUUUUAAAAAGAUGAAAAAUAAAGUCUCCAUUUUGAUUGGAACAAGAAGUAAUACGUUUUUGAAGAAAAUUAAGACAAUCUCCACACUAGAAGUAUGACUGUGGAGGACAGAGGUGCAUCUCAGAUAACCUGAGACAGAUGGCUGCAAGCCACCAUAUGGAUACUGGAAAAUUAACCUAGGUCUUCUGGAAGGUGUUCUCACUGCUGAACCAGCUCUCCAAUCCCUCUCAGAAACUUAUCGGUGCUGAUAAGUAUACCACUACAAGCAGCUGAAAACCAACAUGUUUAAAAAAUUUAAAAAAAAAAUUCAAGAAAAGAUCUCCAACUUGUCAGCUAGGCAGCAGAAUGUGAAGCAAGCCUCUAGACCUCACUGGGACACGUGAGCAUCAUGAAGUACCGCCGGAGGACACCAGGUGGCGUGGCUGCCAAGCCUGAGUAACUGUAGUCUGUGUAUUCUUUCUUUUUCCCUGGAGUCGGGGUCUCAAGUAGUCCAAACUGGUUUCAAACUUGCUAUGUAGCUGGAAAUUCCUUCAACUUAUUUUAAAAUCAACGAUUUUCACUGAUACAAUCCACCCUUUUCUCAGAAAAAAAAAUGAGUUUAUGUUACAAACCUGGGC